rnacentral:rRNA from 1 species
AUUGAACGCUGGCGGCAUGCCUUACACAUGCAAGUCGAACGGAUCAAGGGGCUUGCUCCUUGGUUAGUGGCGAACGGGUGAGUAAUGCAUCGGAACGUACCCAAUCGUGGGGGAUAACGUAGCGAAAGUUACGCUAAUACCGCAUAAGUCCUGAGGGAGAAAGCAGGGGAUCGCAAGACCUUGCGCGAAUGGAGCGGCCGAUGUCGGAUUAGCUAGUUGGUGAGGUAAAGGCUCACCAAGGCGACGAUCCGUAGCUGGUCUGAGAGGACGACCAGCCACACUGGGACUGAGACACGGCCCAGACUCCUACGGGAGGCAGCAGUGGGGAAUUUUGGACAAUGGGCGAAAGCCUGAUCCAGCCAUGCCGCGUGAGUGAAGAAGGCCUUCGGGUUGUAAAGCUCUUUCGGACAGAAAGAAAUCUUCCGGGCUAAUACCUCGGAAGGAUGACGGUACUGUAAGAAGAAGCACCGGCUAACUACGUGCCAGCCGCCGCAGUAA